UGUUGCUUUGGCAUUAAUAACAGCUUUAGAAUUGGGCACAGCUCAGAAAGAUCUAGAAAGUGCUAAGCUUGUAUGGAUUUUACACAGACUUUUAGCAGGAUCUCUGUGCUCAUAAGAAAUAGCACCAAAAUUUUGAGAGGAUAAUGGCAUACAAAUGACUGGCUGUAAUUGGUGUUUCUACCCCACAAUGCAAUGAAGUCUAUUGUACCUGAGAUAAUGGAACUCUCUUGUGAAGUUGCAGCAUUGUUACCAAGCAACAAGAAAUAAAAUGUCAAGAUUAGCACUUUGUUUAAUAUAUUUUUAUCAUCAAUGAACUAUAUUUCUAUCGUGCUGUUCUUCUGGAUGAAUAUGGCCAAUAGGCUAAAAAUUACAUUUAGUAUCUACAAGAGGACACCAAAACAAAUGCAGAACUCAACAGGGACAAAGGUUGAAAAGAUGCUGCACUGUGGAGAGGAAGACACUGGCAAGAAUCUUCCAAAGAGAGACGCCAGCCCAGAUU